rnacentral:tRNA from 1 species
GGGGGUAUAGCUCAGUGGUAGAGCACGUGCUUGGCAUAUGCAAGAUCCCGGGUUCAAUCCCCAGUGCCUCCG